GCCGCAAAUGCGGGGAGCUGGGGAGGCCUGGUUCGAAUCCUACAGCUGGCUAACCUUUUCAAUGACUUUCAUCUUCCAAGCUACUUCCCGUCCCAUCGCUUAAAGCCACAGGAUAUAUCCAUAUCCAUCCCAAUCCAUCCAGCAUCUUUCAAAAUGACAGCUCCCGUAAAAAGGUUUACUGCUCUAUCAUCAAUUGGGAAUAAGCCAGUCAAGCAAAGAGCAAACAGGUGAUGCUUGCACUAUAGCUGCACCUGCGUACGAUACUACAAGUCAGGUUGAACCAAAGUCUGAUGCCAUUCAGUGUACUGGCGUGAUAAAAACCGAGCCGCAGGUUGAAUGCAUUGACGGCACUGAAGGGUAUGGUUGUCCAAAAGAUGAGGUUCCAUCACCUGAAACAAAAUGAUGCAAUGCUGUAUUUCUCAGCCUGGGGAUCCAAACAGGUUUACGGCACAAAGCACAUUGCUGGUGCAAGAAGGAAGACCUCACAGGUGACAGAUUGCACAUGCAGCUAUUGUGCAGCAGCUGUCUCCAAUCUGUGGCUGAGCACUAGUUCUGGACCCCAAGGUGUGUCUCCACACGUCUACCUUUGAUCUCACUGCGCUUGGAAAAAAAUCCCGCAAGUCAUCUCUUGGAACCAGUUUUCAGAUUCUCAAGGAGUAGGUGCUGCCAUCGCGAGUCCAUCCAUUUUUCUCCCAGGAACAGUGAGCAAACCUUCCCGGUGUCUGCUACACUUGGAAGACUGCCGGCAGCUGUGCUGAGGAGCAAGGUUGCGAGAUGAGAGACAGAUUGAGGAUUCCAUCACACCAUACUUCUCAGGACUAUAAAUAGAGCUGAGCGCUGAAUGCUGGACCAAGAAGAGCAAUGAGAUCUACAAUAACAACGGAGGGAUCAUGGGAAAGUUUUGGAUAGUCUUGGUGAACUACGAGUCAAUCAAAGGCUUCAUAGGCACCGGAAGCAACCUUCUCAUCGCUGACUAAACAGGAAUUGCAGUGGCCAUCCACAGAGGCAAUGUCCAAAAGAGGCUGGAGCAGUAUUUUUGUAUUUAUUUAUUUAUUUUCCCCUCAAGGCCCAGACGGGCAAUACAGAGGGGAGUGGUUAAAAAUAAACAAUAAAUACAAUGUGGAACAUUAAGAAAUUACAGGAACGAUUAGUAUAUCAGUAACACCAGAAAGCUAGGUUACAUAAUAACAAACUAAAAAAACAACAUGAUAUUACACGUGAUAAUACAGCUUACAAUGAAGAAAAACCUGCUUUGCA